UGUUUUUUGCUUUUUUGCUCAUGUGUUCAACAUCCAGGAGAAAUGAGGACCCAAAACUUAUCCACUGGUUACGUGUGGUGUGUGUGGCUGUCAUCUCCUCGGGACUGGCUACUGAAGGCCACAGGAGCGGGAGGACCAAAGGCUCCCUGGAUGUUGUGUCCUGGCCUGUGAGCUGCACACAGUCCCGCUUGCAGCAAAGAUGUGGUGGGCAGCUGGGCUGUGAGGGAAGGCCAGGCUGUGACAGGAACCUCAGAUCUCACCGGGGAAUGAGAGUGGUAUCCCCCUGCAGCGGGAGUCCGUGCUGGCCUGAGAGGCUCCAGGCUGUGCCACCCCGGGCAGACCCCAAACUUCAGGGAGCUGCCAGGAUCAAUGGCUACAAGGGUCCCCGCCGAGUUUGGAGAAACAAGGUGAAUUCAGAUAAGAACCUGGGAUGUCUCCCGGGAUAG
rnacentral:lncRNA from 1 species